UACGUAGGGUGCAAGCGUUAAUCGGAAUUACUGGGCGUAAAGCGUGCGCAGGCGGUUUUGUAAGUCUGACGUGAAAUCCCCGGGCUCAACCUGGGAAUUGCGUUGGAGACUGCAAGGCUAGAAUCUGGCAGAGGGGGGUAGAAUUCCACGGUGUGAGGCAGUGAAAUGCGUAGAGAUGUGGAGGAACACCGAUGGCGAAGGCAGCCCCCUGGGUCAA
rnacentral:rRNA from 1 species